rnacentral:rRNA from 1 species
GUCAAAGCGUUCAUUAAAGUCGAGUUGGCUUAGGGAUACGUUCGUUGGGUAGGGGAGCGUUCUGUAAGCCUGUGAAGGUGUGUCGUGAGGCAUGCUGGAGGUAUCAGAAGUGCGAAUGCUGACAUAAGUAACGAUAAAGCGGGUGAAAAGCCCGCUCGCCGGAAGACCAAGGGUUCCUGUCCAACGUUAAUCGGGGCAGGGUGAGUCGACCCCUAAGGCGAGGCCGAAAGGCGUAGUCGAUGGGAAACGGGUUAAUAUUCCCGUACUUGGUGUUACUGCGAAGGGGGGACGGAGAAGGCUAUGUUGGCCGGGCGACGGUUGUCCCGGUUUAAGCGUGUAGGUGUGUGUUCCAGGUAAAUCCGGUUCACUUUA